rnacentral:rRNA from 1 species
GCUUAACGCGAAGAACCUUACCAAGGCUUGACAUGCAUCUCUAAGCGCGUGAAAGCGCGUGACUCUUUGGAGGAUUUGCACAGGUGCUGCAUGGCCGUCGUCAGCUCGUGUCGUGAGAUGUUGGGUUAAGUCCCGCAACGAGCGCAACCCCUGUGAUUAGUUGCCAGCACGUGAUGGUGGGGACUCUAAUCAGACUGCCCAGAUCAACUGGGAGGAAGGUGGGGACGACGUCAGGUCAGUAUGGCCCUUACGCCUUGGGCUGCACACGUACUACAAUGCCCAGCACAAUGAGAACCGAGACCGCGAGGUGGAGGAAAUCUACAAAACUGGGCCCAGUUCGGAUUGGAGGCUGCAACUCGCCUCCAUGAAGCCGGAAUCGCUAGUAAUGCUGCAUCAGCUACGGCAGCGUGAAUACGUUCCCGGGUCUUGUACACACCG